GUACACUCCUCCGGGAGGCAGCAGUGGGGAAUUUUGGACAAUGGGCGAAAGCCUGAUCCAGCAAUGCCGCGUGAGUGAAGAAGGCCUUCGGGUUGUAAAGCUCUUUUGUCAGGGAAGAAACGGUGAAAGCUAAUAUCUUUUGCUAAUGACGGUACCUGAAGAAUAAGCACCGGCUAACUACGUGCCAGCAGCCGCGGUAAUACGUAGGGUGCAAGCGUUAAUCGGAAUUACUGGGCGUAAAGCGUGCGCAGGCGGUUUUGUAAGUCUGAUGUGAAAUCCCCGGGCUCAACCUGGGAAUUGCAUUGGAGACUGCAAGGCUAGAAUCUGGCAGAGGGGGGUAGAAUUCCACGUGUAGCAGUGAAAUGCGUAGAUAUGUGGAGGAACAACGAUGGCGAAGGCAGCCCCCUGGGUCAAGAUUGACGCUCAUGCACGAAAGCGUGGGGAGCAAACAGGAUUAGAAACCCUGGUAGUCCCA
rnacentral:rRNA from 1 species